rnacentral:lncRNA from 10 species
UGGAUAUAGAAGCCAGUGAGAGCUCAGAAUGCAAAUGCAGUUCUCUGGACCUUCUUUCGGAUGCUUCCAGUUCCACAAAAUAGGCACUAAAAAAUUCAUUUUCUUAUGUCAGAGUCCCAGUUAUCAUUGUUAUGGUUUUGAGAAAGCUAUGAACUUUGCUUAUAUAAAUACUGAACAUUUUUCUUAAGGUUCUGCCUCUAGUACCAUGUUGCUGAAGUACCAGCCCUGGCUGGUAUACUCUGCAAACUUCUGACUUUCUAGUUUGACCCCCUAAAAAUAAAAACUUGGAAUCCUGAAUUUAAAAAAAGCUGAGAAGGUUUUACAUUGCAGGAAUUCUCAGAGCUUACACUAUGCUACUGUGCUUCGAAGAUCUCUAAGAGAGUUAAAAGACGCCCCGCUUUCCAAGAUUUUGACAAGGAACAAUGUAUCUACGGAGCAUCUUGAAGCAGUCACAUUCAGUGCAGAUACUUGGGGAGAUGCUUAUCUCCUUUAUAUGGUUUUACAAGGCCUUUCUCAACCCAACCUCCUCUCACCCAUCUGACCACAUCUCUCUGUUCCGCA